CUAGUCCUGUGAUAACAGUCAACCAAGGGCAUAAGUUAUUACCACUCAUUCUAUAGGAGAGAUGUCCUAUAAGAUAUUUUGCAGAGUGAUUUAAAUUGGAUAAAAAGAAUAGCGUUUUGUAGAUGAAGAAAUAUUGAAUAACUAAAUGCGGGAUUAUUAUACAAGGUGGAGUAAAUAUUAUUAUGUCAACAAUUUAAAUUGCAUAUUUAUAAUGUUAUAAUGAUAUGGGUAUGACUAAUGUAAUUAAAAUAACUGCAAUGGAUAAGAGAUGAAGGGUAGAAAUAGAAUAUCUAUUAAUAAGAUUGGUGUUAUCGGGAUAUGAGAUAGAAGUAGACAUUCGAAAGAGGAAAAUACUACAAUGAAUAUUGUUAUAUGUUAAAACUAGCUGGUAAUGAAAAGACAAAAAGUUGAAAGAGAGCUGUAUUCUAUAUAAUGUUAUUAGAAAGAUGUAAGUUUAAUGUAGGUGAUUAAAAUUGUUAAUUUUAUUAUAAUUACUGGGUAUCAAAAUUAAUACCCCGAAACUACACUGUCCAUGUAUUUAAUACUUAUAUACAUUCAAAAAUAAAAAAAAACUUAAUAAUAAAAACAGAAAUUUUGCAAAGUGAUUUAAAUGGGAUAAAAAGAAUUUUGUUUUUGUAGGCCAAAAAACAGACUUUGAAACGGAUCCAUAUACUAACAAUGAACAUCUUAUUGCCAGGUCAAGUUCUGGCAAGACAUGAGAAAGCUUUGUGGAGUUUCCUUGUGCUUCCUAUUUGUGGCUGAGCCAAAAUGCUUCAGCAGUAAUCUUCUGUUUUGACUGUUCAUUGGCACUAGAAAUUGUUUUGUGUAUAUUAUGGUUUUGAAAGCAGCCAAAGUUAACCUAGAGAAUGGGCUUCAACUCCUCUGUAUAAGCAAAUAAAAUAUACAAAUAUCAAAUACAGUAAAAUUAAAAACUGGUUGCACCAGUAUAUUUUAAUUUGAUGUAACAGCAAAGCGUGUUGAAUGAAGUAGUUAGGGUGAAUCAAUUAGGUAAUGGAAUCAGUACCACAAAGACAGUGCUGCAUUUGAGGGAAAAAAGAAGUAUCACGAAGUUCUAGGCAGUUACUUUUAGAAUUUUAUCUGAUAUUGGAUAAAGUACUUAUACUCUCUGAAGAAAUCCAUCAAAAUAUUAACUAGCCCUGUCUCUGGCCUUUCCAAGUACUCAAAGAUCAGCCAGAUUCUGCCACUUCUGAAGAUAGAUGGUAUGGCCUAGUAUAAAUUCAGAAGUCCUGCAAAUCGUGUAAAUCUGUUUUAUCAGGGCCUGCAAUUUUAUGUUCUAUUUAUAUUCACCCAUGUUUUCUGGUAGGAAGGAGAGAUUUAGAACAAGCAUCCAUUGAGUGAUGCUUGCAGUCCUGGGUUUCAGGCAGUGAACAUUUCCAGAACUUUAUGGAAAUACUUGAAAAUGAAUCAACAAGAAAGUGUGCCCUGUUUCUAGUCUACUUGCUUCAUUAAAUUCUGGGCCAGGGGAUUUGAACAAAUUGCACAAAUUAUGCAAACUAAUCACAUUUGCUUAUAUGGUAUGUUUUCUUAUUUGCUUAAUUUUAUGUUGGUUUCAGAAAAAGUUAUGAUUAUUGGAGAAAUUUUAAACUUGUUCAUUUCUGUACCCAAUCGAAGAGUUUCCUUGAAGUAAGAUGGGUGGCGUAUACAUUUAUAAUACAUAUAAAAUAAAAUAAAAUAAUAAACUCUUGCUCUGUCAUGAGAAACAGAAUUACGUAUUCAACAGCCCAGAAAUACUUGUCAGAAAUUCUGAAUAGGUUAUGUUUCUAACACGUGAAUUCAAUCUUUAAAGCUGAUUCAAGAAAAUGUAGGAGGAGACACCAAACUAAAUAUGAAUAUUUAUAUAAAUUCUCAAUUCCCCGUUUAUAAUACAAUAAUGACAUACUGUAUCACAACUCGAUACAAAGACUAAAAAGCAAUGGGUACAGUGCUACUGUCUGCUUAGGGUUGACUUUCCAAUUAAUGCAUAGUACCGUUAUUAUACUAAAUGAACGUGGUUAGGAUGUCAUUCCAUGUAGUCCCUGCAAAGCAACUAUCUACAGCCCUGAAUCGUUUUUCAUUUUGCAAGUUUAUGAGACCCAUUGCUAUAUUUCAGAUUAAUAAUUUAUAGUGAAAUAAAAAAUGCAUUUAUUAUAGGUUAGAGGUAGACUGUAGUAUACAAUUAAAUGUAUUUAAACCCAUUGAGCCUGUGCUGAGUUAUGUACUUCUCUCUUUUUUUUUUUUGAGAUUAUCAGGAAAUGGGAGUUGGAAUCGUCUAUGAGACAGGCUAGUCUUUAACCCCACAAAGCUUCCCCAAAUAGUUCAAAAUGUGGCCAUCUCGACAGUGCAAUCUAGGAGUCAAAGAUCAAUGGUUGAUUGAAUGCCUACCACUGAUGGGUCAUGGUGCACUUGUGAUACUGUAGCAAGGGGUUAAGGUCCUUGGGAAGUACAUAAUAUUUAAGCUGAAAUAGGAUUGUGCUCUUAUAUUUUCUAAAAUAUUAUAUUUUUUAAACAUCAGGAAGAACAUGAUACUUUUCCUAUUUUUCAUAAUAGACAAAAAUCUUGAAGCACAUUAAUGAGCAAAGAAAUGCACUGUGCACAACGUCUUUCAAAAAUAGAGAUGCUCCUUUUAUUUUCAUCAUCCACCAAAUGGUACUAUUUUCUCAAUUUAAAAUACAGGGAUUUGUUAGAAAAAUAUGUAAAUUUUUAAAAAUUUGACUUCUCUGGAAGUCUGUUUGAAGAACAAUAAACUAUUAUCAUCCCACUUAUGUCUCCAGAGACAGUAACGCAUUAAUAUAAAUGGGCUUUACUGCUGUAACAAUAAAAUAUAUUACAUUGCUGAUAUAUUUUGUCUUUUUCCAUUUUUAUUGGUGAGUCUUAAUAUAUUCCAUUGUACUCUUUUUCUUUAUUUCCUCAGGAGGAGUAAAUUCCACCAAAUAUAUAGUAAUGCCUGUCAUUUGUAUUUUGAACUUCUGUUGAGUUACUUUGAAAUGAUUAAAAAAUUAGAAGUUUGUACAAAUCUAUACAUAAACUUUAAAAAAUUCCAAGAUAAAGCAGGGUAGAUUUGACUGGCUAAUGCAGUGAUACAUGUGCAAAACCAAAAUGAACUACUGUAUAGGAGUGUGCAUGGGGUUGAUUUAAACUGAAGUCUGUGUAGCAAGUGAAACUUAAAAUCAACUUCAAAUCCCUAUAAAGUUUAUUUUUAUUGAUAAAUGGCCAAAAUAAAGUUUCUGUCCAUCGGCUUACGAAGGUUUCAGUGUUGCUGUUCUCAUGUCGGCAAUGUUCCUUCUAUUUUGGAUGUUAUUAUUCAAGGAAGACAUAAAAGGUUCAUUCACAAUACACUUGUACACAAAUUGAAAAUUGUAGUUAAGUGAUUAAGGCACCAAGUUAGAAAUUGAGAGAUCAAAGCCAUCUGGGUGACUUUGGGCCAGUCACUCUCUCUCAGCUCAACUCAG